UGACUCGUGUUGCUGAACUCAUCACAUGGGGUAAUGUGAUUGCAAAUGGUUAUAAGCUUGUACUGCACAUUGUCUUGUGACAAUUGCAAACCGCACAUACAUUUUCAGAACUCAUAGCUUGAACCACUUUAAUUUCUCUUUCGGGUUAUAGAAGAAUGUGAAAUCCAAAAUUGGCUUUCUACAUCCUAAAAGGGCAGAAAAUUCAGGAUGGUGUUUCUCAGCCAUUCUUUCUAGAGCCCUCCUAACCCCCCAAUAACAAUAAUAGCCCAAUAAAAUUCCAUAAGUGGGACCUGGAGAGGGUAUAAUGUAUGCGUACUUUAUCCCAAUGGAAUAGAGAGGCUGGUUCCUAUAGGCCCUCGGCUCACAACACACAAAAAAAAACAAAACAAAAAAACAAAAACAAAAGAGGAAAAGAGAAAUCAUGGGGCCGCUUAACUUUUAAAAAUGUCACAUUGUUGCUAUUUAAUUUUUUGGCUUUUCAAUUCUAAUGGUUUGGAACAAAUAACUAUGCUGGUACUAUUGAUUGCAUUUGGCGCUUAUGAAUCGAGAAGGACAAUUAGAUAAAAGAAAAAAGAAUAGAUAUCAAGGUCAACAAGGCAAAGCUAGUUGGUUUUAAUCAUUUAGUCAAUAGAUUCUUUGCCUUUUUUCGGACAAUAGAUAUCAAGGUCAACUAUAAUGUUCUUU
rnacentral:lncRNA from 1 species